rnacentral:rRNA from 1 species
UACAGAGGAGCCAAGCGUUGUCCGGAUUGACUGGGCGUAAAGCGCACGCAGGCGGUUGCGCGCGGGGGGGGGGAAAUCUGGCCGCUUAACGGCCAGGCGCCAUCCCAUACGGCGCGACUGGAGCGAUGCAGAGGUCGGUGGAAUUGCCGGUGUAGGGGUGAAAUGCGUAGAGAUCGGCAGGAACACCCAGGGGGAAACCAGCCGACUGGGCAUCUGCUGACGCUGAGGUGCGAGAGCGUGGGGAGCGAACCGG